rnacentral:rRNA from 1 species
GAUGAACGCUGGCGGCGUGCCUAACACAUGCAAGUCGAACGGAAAGGCGCUGCGCUUGCUGGUUUCUCGUUUGCCGCACGCGUGUGUAUCACGUGAGUAUCCCCUCCCUGUCUUUGUGAUAACAUCACGAAACUCGGGCUAAUAUCCCAUAGGAGCUCUUGCUCCACAGUGGGGGAUGGUAAGUUUCGGCGGUGCGGGAUGUUCUCGCGGGUUAUCCGCUUGUUGGGCGGGUAGUGGCGUACCAAGGCUUUGACGGGUAGGCCGCCUGAGAGGGUGACCGGCGACAAUGGGCCUGAGAUACGGACCAGACUCGUAUGGGAGGCAGCAGUGGGGAAUCUUGCACAAUGAGCGGACGCCUGAUGCGGAAGCGCCGCGUGCGGGAUGACGGGCUUCGGGUUGUAAACCGCUUUCGCAUGUAACGAAGCGGGAGUGACGGUAAUGGGUAAAGAAGCACCGGCUAACUACGUG